UACGUAGGGUGCAAGCGUUAAUCGGAAUUACUGGGCGUAAAGCGUGCGCAGGCGGUUUUGUAAGACAGGGGUGAAAUCCCCGGGCUUAACCUGGGAACUGCGCUUGUGACUGCAAGACUCGAGUACGGCAGAGGGGGGUAGAAUUCCACGUGUAGCAGUGAAAUGCGUAGAGAUGUGGAGGAAUACCGAUGGCGAAGGCAGCCCCCUGGGUCGAUACUGACGCUCAUGCACGAAAGCGUGGGGAGCAAACAGG
rnacentral:rRNA from 1 species